rnacentral:rRNA from 1 species
AUGAACGCUAGCGGGAGGCCUAACACAUGCCAGCCGAGCGGUAUUGUUUCUUCGGAAAUGAGAGAGCGGCGUACGGGUGCGUAACACGUGUGCAACCUGCCUUUAUCUGGGGGAUAGCCUUUCGAAAGGAAGAUUAAUACUCCAUAAUAUAUUGAACGGCAUCGUUUAAUAUUGAAAGCUCCGGCGGAUAGAGAUGGGCACGCGCAAGAUUAGCUAGUUGGUGAGGUAACGGCUCACCAAGGCGAUGAUCUUUAGGGGGCCUGAGAGGGUGAUCCCCCACACUGGUACUGAGACACGGACCAGACUCCUACGGGAGGCAGCAGUGAGGAAUAUUGGUCAAUGGGUGCAAGCCUGAACCAGCCAUCCCGCGUGAAGGACGACUGCCCUAUGGGUUGUAAACUUCUUUUGUAUAGGGAUAAACCUACCCUCGAGAGGGUAGCUGAAGGUACUAUACGAAUAAGCACCGGCUAACUCCGUG